GUUAAGUCUCCUGGCCAGUAAUGCUAACAGAUUCUAAGGCUUUAAAGACUUUAAGGAGGUAUUUGUAUUUAACCUGAGGGUCGUUGAUAUCGUAAAAACACGCCAAGGGACCAGCAGUACAGUCGUCUUCACGUCUGGUAUCUCUACGCUGCCUGGCAUGUUAGGACUUUAUAUUACUCGGGAGAGUUUGUGUUUGAUUCUGUUUGCUCAGUUCAGGGCAGAUGUGCUCGUGCUUUUUCACCCAGCCUCGUGGUAACCUGGGAACGUGUAUAUUCGUAUUUGGACAUCCGUACCACUGCGUCCUUUCUAUCCAUCGAGGAUGAUCCCGUUCACCGGAGGAACGAAAGGCGUUCAGAAUAUUUCACAUUGCGAUAUCGGGACUGGUGAUGAAAUAUGGAAGUGUGAUACGUCUAGCUUUGUGCUUGUACCGGAUGCCAGCCGAAUGAAUCUUUCGGCUGUGUAGCCUAGUCCAGCUUUGUGAUGGACUUUUAAACGGGGUUGAAUGUACGACGCGCGCUCUGUAUAUCACACCUGCCGAAAUAGUGCCGAGGUAUCUGCCAAGGCCUGUGGUGGAUCCGUUUCUUUCACACCGUGGCCGCUUUUCCCCGGCGUCUUCCCGUCGGCGCUUAUCUUUUAAAGUCCCCGCCCGGCGUUAUCGCGCGGCGGGCCGGAGUUCACAGACGGGGACUAUUUUUACAGAGGGGAAAUAACCGACGGUCACGAGGACGACUUAAACGCACGGCGGAAGCCUUUUAACGCGCAGUCCGUCCUUCCUAUUGUGUGUUUUUAACGCGUGGCGUUUUAGUUGCUUAGGAGGAACCGGCGCUUUCUGUCGAGCCACGUCCGACUCCACGACGUUUUGUUUCUUUCCUCAGCCGCCGCGAUCAAUAGUAAUUGGGUCUGCGGCGGCUUAGACGCUCGCCGGACCAGCCGAAGGAGAAAAUGGAGGAUGUUCACGAGGUGCGGAGCGUGACUGCUUCCCUCGCCUCCCCUCUGCAGAUCUCACCGUAUUUAUUCAGCUUUACCUUUCACCAAAAGAUUCUUCCUCCCUCCUCUUACCCCCAUCCCCCCUGACCCCCCCCCCCCCCCCCCCACCCCCCACCUUCCUUCUGUCUCUGUCAUGCACCGAGGACUGGAGUGGGUAGAAGAAAAACAUCAAAUAAAAGUAAUCCCUUUGGGAGCUGAACCGCAGGUAUUCUUCGCCAUAUUUAACCUGCCAUUUAAUUAUUUAUUUAUUUUUGUGCUAAUAAAAGCGGCCACGUUCAAACGAGACCUGCGUCCAGGCGCAUUAAGGAAAUCUGGCUCGUAGAAACGCGUCUGUUCAGAUCGCAGGCCGUCUUAAUGGGAUCUCAUGAAGUGUUGAGAAGAAGCGAGGAAGGGUGCUACGCGAGAGCGUAGUCCGGAACGGUUCCAAAUACACGGCUAGAGUAAAGAGGACGGGGACGUGGACUCUUUACUCUUUACUCAGUCUAGCCGUGUGUUUCGAAGACGGCCGUUCCAGGUGAGACGAAGUUGUAAGCGGACGUCAGAAGUCUGACUUAACGAGCACAGUUGGACGGAAGGCUCGUCGGCGUUUGAACCAUGAAGUUCACGGCGCCUCCGAGCGCCGGCGCGCCGUCGUCCUGGUUCAUCUAGUUCAUCGACGUCUGGUUUCAUUUCAGUGGAAACACGAUUCAGCCCCGUGUCAUUCCCAAACGCGGGACGUGCAGCGACCUCUCCGUGUGUGUCUGCGUCCCGGAUCGCUGCAGAAACUCCGACGUGCGCCUGAUAUCUGGGCCACAAACAAACAAAUAAAUAAAUAAAUAAAGCGAAACAUUAAUGAAUGAAUGCUGGAUUCAGUUCACAAAGGAACAGGUUUUUCCACAGGAUUUAUUCGCGUUAAUAUUUAAUAAGGCGUUUAUUGUUUAGCACCGGCUCCGUGUUCCGUGUGCUUGGUUGCGUUUUCGUGAUUUCCUCACACACUUGCAAGAGGUUUAUUUACAUUUCUUACCAACGUAUUUCAUGACCAACAAAUGAACGACUUUUGUGAGGGCUUUGGAGAAUUCCAGCCCCGCCCCCUUUCCUCACACCGAAAAAAUAUCAUUUGCACUCUUGAUUGAUUGAUUGAUACAAACAAACUAAUAAGUGAGUAAACAUCCAUAAACCAGUCAUAAUAAUCCCGGUGAAGGAGGCGUGGCCUGUGUGCUUUCAGUCCCAGUGGAGGAGGUGUGGCCUCUGCGUUUCAGUCCCAGUGGCGGAGGUGUGGCCUCUGCGCUUCAGGUACAGUGGCGGAGGUGUGGCCUCUGCGCUUCGGUCCCAGUAGCGGAGGUGUGGCCUCUGCGCUUCAGUCCCAGUGAAGGAGGUGUGGCCUCUGCGCUUCAGUCCCAGUGAAGGAGGUGUGGCCUCCAGCACUGAAUUAUUUUGUAUUACAUCGAGCCAGCGGUGUUUCAUAUUGAAUCAUUGGCUCUGUAAACGUAUCUUUCCUGCUUCCACGAUCACGCAUCAAGAGGCACGUUGUAAGAACUCUGAUUAAGAGCGCGUACGAUCUGGAGUCGUAAAUGAAACCAUAAACAAAACCCCCUCAUCAUCGUCCACGCACUUCUUCCCAAGUAGUGCUCCCCAUCGGGCAAUUCCUGUAAGGUCAGGUAUGAAACGAGCAGCGAGUUAGAUGGACGUGCAACGUUCUCUCAACGUUCUCUCAACGUUCUCUCAACGUUCUCUCAACGUUCUCGCUUCAGGUGUCGUGACCGGUGCGCACAUUUCAAAUGCACGUUCAAACCUGACUGCCGGAUUCGUGUUCGUGUCUGGAUGCGGUUGUGCACUGUAACUCUAAAGGAAGAGUUUAAAUAAUCAGAGGAUGCCCCCCCCACCCCCCGGUGACCCCUCCCCCCAUGCCGAAUUUGUCUUUUUAGGCCUUUAGGAUUAACCCCUAUUGUCUUUGCUUAUUAAAGAGAGAGAUACAGUUCCUUAAUAAUUCAAGCUUCAUAUUUGCUGAUCUAAUGUGUGUGUGUGUGUGUGUGCGAUUUUUAUUUUUUAAAAUUCUUUCCCUUCUUCCACCCCCUCCCACCUGUUUCAUAUGCAUCCGGUAAUAAUGGGUUCUGAGAGAGAGCCUUGCCGACGGCGACUGCGUUAGCGAGAGGGGAAAAAAGGACAAAUUAAAAUCUUAAAGCGCUAUUAUUUAAUUACCCCAAUGGCUGUGGAUUCGGGGUGUGUGUGUGUGUGUGUCGACAAGGGCAAUAGAGAGGGCAGGAUUAUUCUGGUUUUUCAAUUUGCAGAACCCCCGGCUGCCCCCCUGCCUUAAACACACACGCACACACACACACGCUUGCUCGCUUCACCCCCUUCCUCACCCAACCGCUGGAAGAUAAAAUGGCAUUAUGGUAAAUUCCACUUAAUGACAAAUUUUUAAUUUGGUGAACACAACCUUCCCCCCCCCCCGUGUGUGUGUGUGUGUGCGUGCGCGUGUUUGUGAGGGAAUAUGAAUGAAGACUAAUUACAGCGCGGAUGGGUUCAGGAGAAAGAAAGGCGCGCUCGCUUCUCUCCAGCCGCCGCGAUAAGGGAAAGGAAACGUAGCAGAUUAACGCCGCUGUUUAUCUCCCGCUGUAUAAUAACAAUAAUAACAAUCAUGAAAAUUCGAUCUGCCCCCUCAGCCCCGAUAGGAGAACGCUCCCACCGGAGAGUUUUCAUCAAAAUGAAAUUGAAGUCGCAAGCCAGCGGUUUUUUUAUUAAAACGGUCCUCUCGCUGCGGUUCCGAGAGAGCGGUACACGGCCCGGGUCUUAUCAGCGUCGGGGGUUAUUUUGUGAUUUUUAAAAAUAUCUUUGUAUUUAUUUUUUUUCCUUUUAUGGCUCGUAAACGCGCCUGCGUCAACGUGAAGCAUCUACAGCGCGAUGGUCGUAUAACCUGAGACGAGGGAUCUCGUCGCAGCCGAAACGCCGUCGGCGUCGGACAGAACUUCACCGGGAAGUCUGGGACGUUUAUGAAGGCGGCCAUCUUGGACGAUCGCGUUUCCUCGCGUCGUGUCACGCCAUCGCCGCCACCAGCGUUAUACCGUAGCCGUUCCUUGUAACCUCGUAACCUCGUUCCUACCCAAAUAUACGAUCAACCCUUUGUUCUGGUUUAUGUAUUAAUCGUUAAUCAUUAGCUCGGCAUGCGCAAAAAGUCUAUGCGUUCCGUGUCCGCCAACUCCCAUGCGACCGAC
ensembl:lncRNA